GGAAGAGUGACCUAGUGGUUUGAGUGUUGGGCUGGGACUCUGGAGGCCAGGGUUCGAUUCCCGGCUCGGCUA
rnacentral:tRNA from 1 species